GGCAAAAAAAGUAAAAAAAAAGUCAUAGUAUAGGAAGGCAAAAAAAGUAAAAAAAAAAUCAUAGUAUAGUAAGGCAAAAAAAGUCAUAGUACAGUAAGGCAAAAAAAAGUCAUAGUAUAGUAGGGCAUAAAUAGUCAUAGUAUAAUAAGGCAUAAAAAGUCAAAAAAAAUAGUCAUAGUACAGUAAGGCAAAAAAAGUCAAAAAAAUAGUCAUAGUAUAGUAAGGCAAAAAAAAGUCAUAGUAUAGGAAGGCAAAAAAAGUUAAAAAAAAAGUCAUAGUAUAGUAAGGCAUAAAAAGUAAAAAAAAUAGUCAUAGUAUAGUAAGGCAAAAAAAAGUCACAGUAUAGUAAGGCAAAAAAAGUUAAAAAAAAAAAGUCAUAGUAUAGUAAGCCAAAAAAAAGUCAUAGUAUAGUAAGGCAAAAAAAGUCAAAAAAAUAGUCAUAGUAUAGUAAGGCAAAAAAAGUCACAGUAUAGUAAGGCAAAAAAAGUCAAAAAAAUAGUCAUAGUAUAGUAAGUCAAAAAAAGUAAAAAAAAAAGUCAUAGUAUAGUAAGGCAAAAAAAGUUUUAAAAAAGUCAUAGUAUAGUAGGGCAUAAAUAGUCAUAGUAUAAUAAGGCAUAAAAAGUCAAAAAAAUAGUCAUAGUGUAGUAAG